AGAAAAAAUAUUCUUUUGUACACUAUUAAUUAAUUUGAUAGUUAGUUUAAUAAAAAUCAUAGUAUAUGGACCAACUUAUUUUUCUAACAAUUCCAAGAAUCAUUCCCGUGAUGACACGUGGCUACGAAAACAUGUUGUAAUGCUCCAGGAUUAAUAUAUAGGGGAUGAGAUUCAAGACAUAAGAUUCUAGCCAUAUAUUAAUUAGAUAUAUCUUUCGAGUUAACCUUAAGAUUAAUUGUUAGUUUGCUAACAUAUUUCAUAAUAUUAAAUACGGCUAACGAGUUUAAUAGCAUAUAAAAUUUUUUUCAUAUAUUUAUAUUUAACUUUAAAAUUAUUUGUGAGAUUCAUUUUUAGCCUGAUAACAUAUCUAUUAACAUAUGACAACUUGAUCAUAUUUUACAUGUAUGGUUUAGUUAGGUUUUGAAAUUUGUUGUUAAAUGGCUAACAUCUAUCUAUUACAAUAAAUGAGACUUUUCUUCCUUCUUCGGUGUCCACGUCAGCAAGAGGGCAUGUGACGUUUUGUGCCACGUGGCAUAGAAAGAAUCUCAAGUUAUGGACUGAAUUUGUAGCUUUGAUAGGUUGGGUUACAGCUUUAACUUAAAAGUUGUGUUUAGGCCCAUUCUACUUUAGGGUUUGCGUCACCUUCUAAACAAUUUCGAUAAACAUGCUCAACAGCUUUACGAUACCUCUGAUAAUCUCACUGUUCUUUUAUCCGAGCUUUGACGUGAUUACCCACUCCUCCCACUCUCAAUCAUUGAAUCGAGCUCUUCAUCUCCCAAAAUAACCGACAGAAGCUCUGGCUAUGAAUCUCAGAACUCCCAGUCAUGAACAACACAACUUCUCCCAAAUCAAGAAGAAUAGUCUCUGCUACUUACAAACUCCUUCAUCCUUCUUGCCGAUCUGAAAUCUCGCUGCUCUACCACGGUGGAGGUCCGUUUGCUGAGGUUCUGGUAGAAUGUCAAGAAAGGUGGAAAGCGUAUGAGUGUGGGCAUGCUCCUCCUUGAUUAAAAGGUGACAAGAGGUUUAGCUAUGACCCAGGGAGAAUUCAGUCAGUAAGAGGAAGCUAACUAUCGACGCCAUAGUUAACGCCAUUGUUAACGAGGGUCAGUGUUGGAGAUUGGCCAUGGUCAGACAGGAGGACGUUCAAUGACAUGGUCCCUAAGCCUGAAUUCAAUAACUUUCAGGAUUUGUGAUGCUCCUGUCACUAUUAGUUUCACUGAUCAAACAUGAGGGACACAUUCUCUCUGAAGCCAAACCUCAUGGCUCUCACCAGACGCCGAAGAAAGAAAAAGAUCCAACUACCAUCGUUUGUGUUUGUUUUCUCUAGCUUUGAAAAGCUAAUUCAAUGGGUUUGGAUAGUUAAAAUUGUCUUUUGUACCAGAUACUGGUUCUUUUCUAUAGGUUUUAAUAUCAAUUAAAAGUUAUUUGUAUCUCUUGUAAGAGCCUAACGUUUUCAACUUUUUCCUUGCUAAGGUGUUAUGAUGUGCUUAGUU